AUUUAUUUGGGAUUUAUAGAGGGUGCAUACGCUUGCUCACAAUAUGGAAAAACUGAAGCAGAAAAUAAAGACAAGAAAGGGAAGAUUACAGAAAGAAAGAAAAUAUGCUAGUACUUUGUGUACUAGGGACCUUUGUUGAAUUUAGGGUCCGCCUAGAUAAUCUGACCUGGAUCUCCUCAUCUUCUGACCCUUAACUUGAUUACAUCUGCAAAGAUUCUUUUUCCAAAUAAGAGAAACUAAUGUCCAGAGAAUAUCAAGAAACCGAAGCUUCCCAGGCCCAACUCCUC